rnacentral:rRNA from 1 species
UACGGAGGGUGCGAGCGUUAAUCGGAAUUACUGGGCGUAAAGCGUGCGCAGGCGGGCUUUUAAGCCAGACGUGAAAUCCCCGGGCUUAACCUGGGAAUGGCGUUUGGGACUGGAAGUCUGGAGUGCGGCAGAGGAGACUGGAAUUCCUGGUGUAGCAGUGAGAUGCGUAGAUAUCAGGAGGAACACCGAUGGCGAAGGCAGGUCUCUGGGCUGACACUGACGCUCAUGCACGAAAGCGUGGGGAGCAAACAGG